AAAUUUCAAGUAGUAACUCUAAUAAGUCAAGAUUAUAAUUCGAAUACAAACUCAUUCAAAUUCAAAUCGUCAACUUGAAACUCAUAAUCAAGCCAUCAAAAUCAAUUUCGAGAUUCACAAAAUAUCAUAAAAUCAUUAAUCUUGAUCAGAUGGGAGCGGUGUUUGACUCAAGAUAGGAUAAGGUAAUUUAACGUGUCAUUUAGAAUCGAAAGAGAAGGAUCAAAUUCACCGAGGAACGGA
rnacentral:lncRNA from 1 species